UACGUAGGGGGCUAGCGUUGUCCGGAUUUAUUGGGCGUAAAGAGCGUGUAGGCGGCCAGGUAGGUCUGCUGUGAAAACUCGAGGCUCAACCUCGAGACGUCGGCGGAAACCAUCUGGCUAGAGUCCGGAAGAGGAGAGUGGAAUUCCUGGUGUAGCGGUGAAAUGCGCAGAUAUCAGGAAGAACACCCGUGGCGAAGGCGGCUCUCUGGGACGGUACUGACGCUGAGGAGCGAAAGCCAGGGGAGCAAACGGG
rnacentral:rRNA from 1 species